rnacentral:rRNA from 1 species
ACUCGGUAAUGUUUCCUUCCGUAGGUGAACCUGCGGAGGGAUCAUUACCGAGUUGUGGAAACACAAUCUCCCUUUCUUGUUGUUUGACCGGUUGCCUUGCCUUCGGGCAGGAUUAUUCUGAAUCAGUGUCGUCUGAGUACUUUUAUAAUACUAUAAAACUUUCAACAACGGAUCUCUUGGUUCUGGCAUCGAUGAAGAACGCAGCGAAAUGCGAUAAGUAAUGUGAAUUGCAGACACCGUGAAUCAUCGAAUCUUUGAACGCACAUUGCGCCCUUUGGUAUUCCGAAGGGCAUGCCUGUUCGAGCGUCAUUACACUAUUCUUCGGAGUAUUGACAGUGGCUUACGCCUUGUCUAAAACCCUUGGUGGUAACUAUCAAUCACGCAUAGUAAUCUCUGCGAAGGUGGAUAGGUAAACACUGAAAACUUCUUGUUUGACCUCGGAUCAGGUAGGGAUACCCGCUGAACUUAAGCAUAUCAAUAAGCGGAGAG